rnacentral:rRNA from 1 species
AGUGAACGCUGGCGGUAGGCCUAACACAUGCAAGUCGAACGGCAGCACAGUAAGAGCUUGCUCUUACGGGUGGCGAGUGGCGGACGGGUGAGGAAUACAUCGGAAUCUACUUUUUCGUGGGGGAUAACGUAGGGAAACUUACGCUAAUACCGCAUACGACCUACGGGUGAAAGCAGGGGAUCUUCGGACCUUUCGCGAUUCAAUUAGCUGAUGUCGGAUUAGCUAGUUGGCUGGGUAAAGGCCCACCAAGGCGACGAUCCGUAGCUGGUCUGAGAGGAUGAUCAGCCACACUGGAACUGAGACACGGUCCAGACUCCUACGGGAGGCAGCAGUGGGGAAUAUUGGACAAUGGGCGCAAGCCUGAUCCAGCCAUGCCGCGUGAGUGAAGAAGGCCUUCGGGUUGUAAAGCCCUUUUGUUAGGAAAGAAAAGCAGCAGGUUAAUACCCCGCUGUUCUGACGGUACCCAAAGAAUAAGCACCGGCUAACUUCGUG